GGUGGCUCAGCGGUAAGAGUGCUUGCCUCACAUGCAUGAGGCCCUGGGUUUGAUUCCUCAGCACCA
rfam:Dipodomys ordii contig_25784, whole genome shotgun sequence.